rnacentral:rRNA from 1 species
GACGAACGCUGGCGGCGUGCCUAAUACAUGCAAGUAGAACGCAGUUGCGAACGGGUGAGUAACUCGUAGGUAACUGCCUCAUAGCGGGGGGUAACUAUUGGAAACGUUAUCUAAUACCCCAUACUUUGAUAUGGACCUGUGUUGUAUUAGCUAGUUGGUGAGGUAAAGGGUCACCAAGGCGAAGAUACAUAGCCGACCUGAGAGGGUGGACGGGCACACCGGGACUUAGGACCGGCCCAGACUCCUACGGGAGGCAGCAGGAGGGAAUCUUCGGCAAUGGACGGAAGGCUGAACGAGCAACGGCGCGUGAGUGAAGAAGGGUUUCGGAUCGGAAAGCUAUGUUGUUAGAGGAGCGGUAACUAACAAGAAAGGGACGGCUAACUACGUGCCAGCAGCCGCGGUAAUAC